UUUCCGUAGGUGAACCUGCGGAAGGAUCAUGCUUGUAUAACCGAGGUGCGAGGGCUGUCGCUGACCCGAAAGGUCGUGCACGCCCGAGUGCCGUCACACUCAUCCAUCUCACCCCUAUGUGCACCACCGCGUGGGUCCCCCUUUGGCUUGUUCGGAGGGGGGCUUACGUUUUCACACAAACUUUGUAUGCAGUGUAGAAUGUAUUUUUUGUUUUUGCGAUCACGCAAUCAAUACAACUUUCAACAACGGAUCUCUUGGCUCUC
rnacentral:misc_RNA from 1 species